UACGAAGGUGGCAAGCGUUACUCGGAAUUACUAGGCGUAAAGGGCAGGUAGGUGGUUUAGUUAGUCUGCUGUGAAAGCUCCUGGCUCAACUGGGAGAGGCCAGCAGAUACUACUAGGCUUGAGUAUAGGAGAGGGUACUGGAAUUCCCGGUGUAGCGGUGAAAUGCGCAGAGAUCGGGAGGAACACCGAUGGCGAAAGCAGGUACCUGGACUAUUACUGACACUCAGCUGCGAAAGCUAAGGGAGCAAACAGG
rnacentral:rRNA from 1 species